rnacentral:rRNA from 1 species
AAUCAUUAGUCUUUUAAUUGAAGGCUUGUAUGAAUGGUCGCACAAGAAGCAAUCUGUUUUAGUAGAAUUUAUUGAAUUUAACUUUUAAGUAAAAAGGCUUAAAUAAUUUAAAGUGACGAUAAGACCCUAUAAAACUUAAUAAUUGUAAUUAAAAGAUGAAUUAGUUGUUUAAUCUUUUUUAAGUAAAAUUUAUUUUAUUGGGGCGAUAAAUAUAUAAAUAGUAACUGUUUUUAUUGUUAAAAUGAUUAUUGUCAAAUUUAAUUGAUCCUUUAAUAUGGAAUAUAAGAUUAA